rnacentral:rRNA from 1 species
CCUACGGGAGGCAGCAGUGAGGAAUAUUGGUCAAUGGGCGAGAGCCUGAACCAGCCAAGUCGCGUGAGGGAAGACGGUCCUAUGGAUUGUAAACCUCUUUUGCCGGGGAGCAAAAAGCGGUACGCGUACCGCAUCGAGAGUACCCGGAGAAAAAGCAUCGGCUAACUCCGUGCCAGCAGCCGCGGUAAUACGGAGGAUGCGAGCGUUAUCCGGAUUUAUUGGGUUUAAAGGGUGCGCAGGCGGCGAGUUAAGUCAGCGGUAAAAUUUCGGGGCUCAACCCCGACAAGCCGUUGAAACUGGCGUGCUAGAGUGGGCGAGAAGUAUGCGGAAGGCGUGGUGUAGCGGUGAAAUGCAGAGAUAUCACGCAGAACUCCGAUUGCGAAGGCAGCAUACCGGCGCCCAACUGACGCUCAGGCACGAAAGCGUGGGUAUCGAACAGGAUUAGAUACCCGAGUAGUC